CAAAUGACGGUGAUGGGGAGCAGUAAGCAGCAGCGGUAUCUGCAGAGAGCCGCCGGCAGGUGCGAGGCGGUGAACCGGGUUGCUGAACUCGCCCCGGAGUUGCCCGGGGGAAAGCUGAAGUACUCCGGGCCGGCGUGUGGCCGUUAAAGCACAUCGAGAGGGUAAGUAUGGGGCUGUGGCGCAGAGGGAGCGCGCUUCCUUGGCAUGGAAGAGGCCGCGGGUUCGAUUCCCGCCAGCUCCACCAUUUACCAAGUAGGGUGGUACCGCGGGAUUAACCUCCCGUCCCUAGA
rnacentral:sRNA from 1 species